GGUUUUAACUGUUGUAUUCACCCAGUCCAGCAUGGCAGAGUGGACAGUGAGCAUAUGCUCACAAUGUCAGAUUCCUGCAAUCAAGAUGCUGAACUCCUGACUGGGAAGCCCAUUGUAACAGAGUGCAGCUCACUUACUCAGCAGUAUUUUCAUGCUGAAUGCUCAUGUCUAGAAGCAUAAGAACAACCACAUGAACAUGGAAGUUGAUCCUACUCAGAGGAUGCUUAAUAUCUUACCACUGACUGGACUGUGAUCUACAACUGCCUUAAAAUAUGGGACUAACGAACCAGCCCAUUUUAUUAGUCAGGCUAAUUUUGUGACAUGAAGUAAGCAUAUAACACAGUAUCAAAGAGUAAAAACACUGUGACUGUAUUUCCCAUGAGAUAAA